GUCGAACGAGCGAGAGAGAGUUUACUUUUUCGAGCGAGUGGCGAACGGGUGAGUAACGCGUGAGGAACCUGCCUCAAAGAGGGGGACAACAGUUGGAAACGACUGCUAAUACCGCAUAAGCCCACGGCUCGACAUCGAGCAGAGGGAAAAGGAGCAAUCCGCUUUGAGAUGGCCUCGCGUCCGAUUAGCUAGUUGGUGAGGUAAUGGCCCACCAAGGCGACGAUCGGUAGCCGGACUGAGAGGUUGAACGGCCACAUUG
rnacentral:rRNA from 1 species